rnacentral:rRNA from 1 species
CACGUAGGGCGCAAGCGUUGUCCGGAAUUAUUGGGCGUAAAGAGCUCGUAGGCGGUCUGUUGCGUCCGCUGUGAAAACCCGGGGCUUAACCCCUGGCUUGCAGUGGAUACGGACAGACUAGAGGUAGGUAGGGGAGAAUGGAAUUCCCGGUGUAGCGGUGAAAUGCGCAGAUAUCGGGAGGAACACCUGUGGCGAAAGCGGCGCACUGGACCACAACUGACGCUGAGGCGCGAAAGCUAGGGGAGCAAACAGG